UUUUUUUUUUACUUUUUAUUAUAUUUAUUAAUUAGUGACUGUGACAACUACCCCACUUUCCAAGAAAAUUUUUUUUGAUACUGCUACAGUGUGCUGCAGUAUCAUGGUAAGGGGCUGUAAGUGGCAUGAAAUAUAAGGACCACAAUUUUUAACUGCAAACCAUGAUGGUGUGUAAUGAUUAAAUGAAAAUAUUUGUUAUGGAUGGUCAGAUGAAUAUUCCAAAAUAUCAUAUCUAAGGUAUUUUCAAUUGUUUCUCCUGUCUUCUUGGGUAUUUGUAGCUACAAACAUUGUCUUGUGCAUGAUUUUAAAUGUCCCAUUUUUAAUUCCUCAUUGCAAUUUUGGUUCCAGUCAUAUCAUGAACAGCGUGAUCAUGGAGCAGGACCAGCUGGCCUGCUCCUGUAUUGAUGAGAAUGUCAUAACUAACUAUAAGUUGUUGGCCACCCGGGUUGAAGGGAACUUUUUAGAGGUCUAACUGGCUUUCCAUGUCCCCACACUGAUCUGUGUGGCUGUAAACAUUUUCCAAAACGUCAAGAUAUAUGUCUUGCUUUUCUGCAGGAAAGUCAGCAAUGUGAAAUCACUUGACCAUCCUAACUUUAUCAAGCUGUUUCACAUGGUCAGACAAGAGAAAACACCUACCAGUUGAAGGAUAAUGCCUCGGAUGGAGAGAUACUAGAACAAGUCAUUGAAGGUCAUCACUGAACUAUUGAUGGUCAAUCCCAGAAGAAAUCCCACCAUCCACAAAAUCAUGAUGUGCCUCAUGAUUAGUGAAAGUGAGGCAUGUUUAUUACCUCCUUCCUGUGUAUUUCUGCUUUGAAGUUUUGAAGAGGACCAGAAGCCAGAGAGUAGGAAUGUGCAGGCUCUUUUAACAAUUUUAUGGUGACCUGGUCUACAUUGAACAGUUGUUGUACACGCAAGGCUCUGUGUAAGACUUAAGAUGGUGUUGGGAUAUUAUAAAGACAGAAUCAGGCAUGAGGAGUUCAUGGUGAUGAGAGUGAGUGACAAGCUGCUCGGGUCUCCUGUCUGAGAGUGGAGCUGCUUCCUCACAGAUCCGCGUACAGAGGUGAGGCCAGUCUCAGUCUGUCCCUUCUUCAUCUUCCCCAAAUAGAGAGAGAGAUUGGUCAAUUAACUUAUCAAAAGUGUGUUUUCAGUUUAUAUUCUUGUAGAAUAUAGGUUAUAUAAAAA
rnacentral:sRNA from 1 species